rnacentral:rRNA from 1 species
GACAUUACCACACCGAUCCAUGAUCUCUACCCCUGUGAAGGUUGUCGCGUGAAUAGGCUUAGCUAGGCUAUGGCUUUUGGCUGUUCAGCUACUAAUCGAGGUUAGCCUAGCCUAUUAACCGAUUGACUAUUAUCGAGUAAAGCUACUCGGUGUUACUUACCCUAUUACCGUACACAAACGAAGAAGACCCUAGUUAAGCGUCCUUAUGGCUGGACGUGGGGUUUUAUUUUUUGCUACUGUACAAGAAAGAGACUAAAGGAACGUGAAACAAAAGAGGAAGGGCUAAGCGCGAAAGCGGCUUGGCUCACCCCUAACUAAGAAAUGUUGUCGUACAACUUUCAGCAACGGAUGUCUAGGUUCCCACAACGAUGAAGAACGCAGCGAAAUGCGAUACGUAAUGCGAAUUGCAAAACCUCGUGAAUCAUCAAAAUUUUGAACGCACAUUGCGCUUCCGGGAUAUGCCCGGUAGCAUGCUUAUCUGAGUGUCCGCGAACACCACUCAGCCCCCGUGUGCUGGACUAUGGCUCUGCACCUGGAAAAGUAGGUGCUGGGCUGAAACGCGAGACGACUUGUGGCACGAUACACCGUGUUAGGGUUUGCGCUUAGCGAAUGACUAGCGAUCGUCUCUGGUAGAAGCACCUUAGUGCAUUCCGAAGGAGCAACGAGCAAGUAAGUAGUCAAGACGUGAAUCGUAAUUCGAUGUAACCCACUAGGCGUAGCCAUUUAAAUGUUUUAAAUUGGCUAAGCUCAGUGUAUUCGUUUCGGAUCUCAGAUUAAGUAAGAAUACCCGCUGAUU